rnacentral:lncRNA from 1 species
UCUCACCUUCUUAUGUUUCGAUAAACAACCCACCGGAGACGGUCAUCGCCGGAGUUUUUACGAUCCGUUUUACCACCCCCCACCGUUGCAGCACUCGCCGGAAUCCUCAGUCGCCGUCGGAGAAGUCUCAUCUUCGACGACACCGGAACUCUCUUCCUUCGGAGACCACCGCCACUGCCACCGGAGCUCCGCCGACAUCUCGCCGGAGAAGACGACUUCGUCCGGGUAAUUCUCUUGUGCACGUUCCUUUGGAAAAUCCCUGAUUCUUUAUCUUUUCCAAGAAAUACGCAACGCACUCUAAGGUUGAAUGAUCAAGAAAACAAGAAUCAAGCUAGGAUGGACAUUAGAAACCCACUUAGCAUCUUGAUUAUUGUUAAAUGUUAUGUUUAUUUAUUUGGAACUAUUGUGACAAUAUAGAUUAAAUUAAAUUUCAUAAAUUACUAAAUUCAAAUACAUUGUUUCAAAUAAAGACAAAUUGCAACAAACAAGGUUUAUUAUUAAAAUGGGUCUCUAGUCCAUCCUAACUUGAUUCUUCAACAUCUUGUCUAUCAACCUACAACAUGUAUUAAAAUAAUGAUCAACAAAAUAUGCUGGCGAGUAUACAAAUUGAUACAUAGCAUAGUAGAAUAAAAUGUUUAAAUGUGCUCAUAUCUAACAUGAAUAAGAUGAUGCAAGUUAACAGUUAUGCCGAAACGAUGUUACUCUACAUGCUCAAACCAAUGUUUACGCAAUUAAAGUGCCUAUCCCAAAAGUUUAGCGGAAGGUUAACAUGUUUAACUUAACAAUACCCAAGGAUAGCGGGGGGGGGGGGGUUACAACCUAUAGCAUAUGCAUAGUACUAUAAUUGUUAAGGUUGGCUUUAUCGAAGUUAAUGAGCAUAUAGUCAUGAAGUGUUUACAUUAGCAUCACAUGUAUAACAAGAAUCAAACAUUUCAUGUGUAAUUUGGAUAGAGUGUGAAUAAAUGCAGUUUAACGUGUUUGUGUAAUUUGCAUAAGAAUACAAGUUGCACCCAAAAGUGUUUAAAGAAUGAAAAUGGGAUCAUGUAUACUCACAUUGGUUGCGUUGUGAUUUCUUGUAAGUAACGUACGAGUAAGAUUGGACAAAUCCAAGACAACGAACAAGAGCUAUUAUCCGAAACGUUGAUUCGAAAGUUCCGUCGAUACUCCGGUGAGUUCGAUUUACUUCGACGACUUCGGGGUUUCUACGGUGAACUCCGAUGGGUUGUCUUUAUAUGCGAAACAAUGACGACACGAUCGUCGACGUGAUUCCGGUUCCGGCAACGACUUUGUCCCCGCCGCUGUAGGUGUCUCUGGUAGUGUACCCGACAACGUGCAGGUCCAGCGAGAGAGAGUGUAAAACAGUGAGGUGUUUCGGCUUGUGAGAAGGUGGUAACGAAGGUGUCAAGAUGGAUCGAUGCUAUAUAUACACAAAUCAUAGAAUCAAAUUUUGUUAACUUUCCGAAUUGAAAUGGUAAGAUAAUCAUCGAGGAACGGGGACAUGAUUUCGUCUUUGUUCGUGAUUGGAACCGAAAAGGAAAUGCGGAAAUGAUAUCGACUUCCAAUCAAUCAGCGAUCAUAGGUAAAAGAAAAGGAAAUGUGGGAACUGUACGCGUUCAAAGAGUUUGGGCGACAAGGUUGUAACAGUGUAUAAGAGAUUUAUGUUAAUCAAAAUGAAAAUGAAAUCUUGGAUGUUUAUGCCGACAAUUUCUUGU